GACGAACGCUGGCGGCGUGCUUAACACAUGCAAGUCGAACGCUGAAGCUCAGCUUUUGUUGGGUGGAUGAGUGGCGAACGGGUGAGUAACACGUGAGUAACCUGCCUCCUUCUUUGGGAUAACGCCCGGAAACGGGUGCUAAUACUGGAUAUUCACUGGUCUUCGCAUGGGGGUUGGUGGAAAGGGUCUUUCUGGUGGGGGAUGGGCUCGCGGCCUAUCUGCUUGUUGGAGGGGUGAUGGCCUACCAAGGCUUUGACGGGUAGCCGGCGUGAGAGGGUGACCGGUCACAUAGGGACUGAGAUACGGCCCGGACUGCUACGCGAGGCAGCAGUGGGGAAGAGUGCGCAAUGGGCGCAAGUCUGAUGCAGCGGCGACGCGGGAGGGAUGGCGGCCUGCGGGUUGUGAACCUCUUUGGCUCAUGGUCAAGCCGCAACAAUGGUUGUGGUGAGGGUAGUGGGUAAAGAAGCGCCGGCUAACUACGUG
rnacentral:rRNA from 1 species